GUGUAAUAAAAUCAACUACUUCUCAUACAAUUAUAUGCUUUUCAGAAAGAGCAGUGGAUUCUCAAGAGGAGUAUCCAAAUAUCAUGGUCUGUCAAGGUUCCAGGCGUUAAGGCCAAGUAGAGGAAAAGUUAAAGAACUUGUUAGGCGAGAAGAGGUUGUCAAGGCGUUUAGUUUAAACUUAAGUGUUCUACUUAUGUAAUUUGUCAAAAGAGUUGUAAAAAGCUUUGUUCAAGUUAAUAAAAGUAUAUGUUUGUCAAA